UGGGGAAUAUUGGACAAUGGGCGCAAGCCUGAUCCAGCCAUGCCGCGUGUGUGAAGAAGGCCUUUUGGUUGUAAAGCACUUUAAGCGAGGAGGAGGCUACUUGGAUUAAUACUCUAGGAUAGUGGACGUUACUCGCAGAAUAAGCACCGGCUAACUCUGUGCCAGCAGCCGCGGUAAUACAGAGGGUGCGAGCGUUAAUCGGAUUUACUGGGCGUAAAGCGUGCGUAGGCGGCUUCUUAAGUCGGAUGUGAAAUCCCUGAGCUUAACUGAGGAAUUGCAUUCGAUACUGGGAAGCUAGAGUAUGGGAGAGGAUGGUAGAAUUCCAGGUGUAGCGGUGAAAUGCGUAGAGAUCUGGAGGAAUACCGAUGGCGAAGGCAGCCAUCUGGCCUAAUACUGACGCUGAGGUACGAAAGCAUGGGGAGCAAACAGG
rnacentral:rRNA from 1 species